rnacentral:rRNA from 1 species
UUAAAUUGCUGUAGUAUUUUGACUAUACAAAGGUAUUGAAACAAGAUUUUAAUUGAAUGCUAAGAGAAUGGAAUUUCAGAAAAAAACUUUUUUCAAGUUAAAAAUUGAAAUUUUUUUAAUUUGUGCAGAAACAAUUAUUAAUAUUAAGGACAAGAAGACCCUAUGAAUUUAUAAAUUUUAUUUAAUAUGUAACUACUAUUAAAAAAAUUUUAGCUGGGGCGGCGGAAAAAUAUUUAAAACUUUUUUAAAAUAAAAUGACCCAUUAUUAAUGAUUAUAUGUUAAAUACUCUAGGGAUAACAGCGUUAUAUUUUUUGAUAGAUCAUAUUGACAAAAAAGUUUGCGACCUCGAUGUUGGAUUAGGAUACUUUUUUAAUGCAGAUAUUAAAAAAAGAAGUUUGUUCAACUUUUAAUUUCCUACUUGAUCUGA